GAUGAACGCUAGCGGCAGGCCUAAUACAUGCAAGCCGAACGGCAAGUUUGAUAGCAAUAUUGGACCUAGAGUGGCGCAAGGGUGCGUAACACGUAUGCAACCUGCCCUCGACAGGAGGAUAGCUCCCCGAAAGGGUAAUUAACCCUCCAUAACACCAUGAGAAGGCAUCUGUUUAUGGUUAAACCGCACGGAGUCGCUGAUGGGCAUAUGGUUGAUUAGCUAGUUGGCGGGGUAAAGGCCCACCAAGGCGGUGAUCAAUAGGGGUUCUGUGAGGAAGGUCCCACACACGGGAACGGAGAUACGGGCCAGACUACGACGGGAGGAAGGAGUAGGGAAUAAUGGACAAGGGUUGCAAGACUGAACCAGCCAUGCCGCGUGCAGGAAGAAGGACUUCUGGGUCGUAAACUGAUUUUGCCUGUGGAUAAAAUACCCGUGCGCGGGGAAUUGAAGGUAACAGGGGAAUAAGCCACGGCUAACUACGUG
rnacentral:rRNA from 1 species